UGAUUUAUUGAAGUCAACAAAUACACCAAUCAUAUUUUGGAGAAGCCGUUCCAAUAUCGAUAACACACGAUUCGUGCAUACUUUCAUAUCACACAAAAGUGACUCCAAUUUAUUCAAUACCACGGUGCCACUCCUAGAAUGCUUAAGGAGACUUAGGAAAUGAUGUCACGCUCCAUUGAACUUCCGGUUAUGACUUUACACGUGUGUUAAAUGAGGCGUGACACCAAUAAAAGACUGAAAGUAAAUCGCAAAUCAAUUUUCAUUUCUUUUAACAAAAACAAAUAUAUGCAAAUAGAUAGAAGAUAUCUGGAAAAGAUAUGACAAUUGCUUGAAGUGAAUAUAAAAAAAAA